GUGUUCGCUUUGGAAGCAUAUAUACUAAAAUUGGAAUUAGAGAAGAUUAGCACGGCCCCUUCACAAGGAUGACACACAAAUUCGUGAAAUGUUCCAUAUUUUU
ensembl:snRNA U6 U6 spliceosomal RNA